AGACCGGUGUUUGUCCUAAGUCGGAACUUGAUUGGGCUGAGAAAUCACAUUGUGACUAUUCCACGACUUGAACAAGGGGUAGAAAUCGCAGGCACCGCGAAAUAGAAACUUCCUAGGACCAAGAAGCCAACGACGCCCGAAACCGUGGGGUCCUGUCACAGAAACCCCAGCAGCGCAGCCACCGGACUGGGUUCUGGAGGCCGAGCCGCAGUCCGUGCGGCGGCGCUGGGAAGAGAAGGCGCCCCGGCAGCUCCCCUGCCACCGGCCCCGAGGAGCGGCUGGCUCCCCCAGCCCAGCGCCGCCGCCGCCCGGUAACUCCAGGCGCAACUGGGCGCAACUGGGGCAGCUGCGACACCGAAUCCCUCACAUCUGCAACCUGGGUGCUGCGGCCACUGAGAAAAUGGAGGCGCAGACCAACGAGCGGUGCCGCGACCGAGAGACCUCGGCUGGCGAAAUGGUGGUGCCGGGAGCCUGCGAGUGACGCCAGCCGGCGGGGUUGUCAAGGACAACAUUCGUUUUGACGCAGCCAAUGGCGCCGUCACCAAGAAACCAUCGACUCUGAGAAAAAAGAGAGGUUCGGCCACCGAGAAACUCCGUACGACAAGUGCUGUGGCAGAAAAACCGCCUACUCCGCGCCACAGGCAAAACAGCCAAUGGAAACCCCAGGUGCUGCGACCGUGACACCGGCACUAGAGGGUCUCGGAUGGAGAAAGCGGCGCACGGAGACCAGGAAACUAUGUGUAGCACAACUAGCAGAAAACCGUCUGGUCGGCCAUCCGGGAGAAAGCGCGGAUCAGAAACAAGCGACUUCGAUGCAGGGAACCGCGCAGCCACUGAAGAAAGUGACCCACGUGGCAGUGGUGCCAGCGAAACACUGCAGUUUGGACGGCAGCUGUGGGGAUGCCACAGAGAAACAUGCACUGCCACUGAAGUACAUCCAGCUCCGCGGAGCUAGUGUUCAUAUGAUCAAGAAACCGCCAGUUGGGCUCUGCUAGAAACUUUUAGUCCUCCCUUAACGGCUAUCCUACCCACAACAGACAAUGCCUUUACCCAGCACCUAGCGGUGCUGAGACCCGCCUGGGCCAGCACAGAGCGCAGAGCAGUACGGGUACGGAGAAACGCCGGACUCAGUGAAACCAGCCUUGCCUCCAGCGGAUUCCCCGGCUUCGCCGGACGCCACAGGCAGAGUGCCGCGGGGAAACCUCUGGCUCCCUAAACCGAUUAGAUUGUGGGAGUGGGGGGGACACUCACAAGUUGUGUGGAAGGGAACCAGCGGCAAUGGGACCCGGCGAGCACUUGCCCGCAGCAAAUGCCUGCGCUGCUGCAAAAAAAACAACUUUUGGCGCAAAGAAUGUUGCGGCCAGAGAGCAUCCGCUGUCGCUGACAAAGGAGUAGCAAUGGCAAUGAGAAACCGCCGGCGCCACGGCCGACCGCGGCGGCUCACGCCUAUGAUCCUUGCAGUUUGGGAGGCCGAGGUGGGCGCAUUACUUGAGAUCAGGAGACUAGCCUGGCCAACAAGGUGAAACCCCAUCUCUACUAAAAUACAAAAGAUUAGCCGGUUGUGGUGGCAGGCACCUGUAAUCCCAGCUACUCCGGAGGCUGAGGCAGAAGAAUCGAUUGAACUCAGGAGGCAGAGGUUGCAGUGAGCCAAGAUCGCGCCACUGCACUCCAGCCUGGGAGACAGAGUGAGCUCCGUCUCAAAAAAAAGAAAGAAACCGCUGGCGCCGGGAAAGGAGCCGUGCAGCGAUGGACCCAUGGUGCGCUCCGUGCUACCAAAGUGCUGUGGCCUCUACCCACUCUCGAUUCCCAAGGCUGUUUUUCGGGCUUAGGGAAGUCUGUUAUAUUUUUAUUUCUGCUUCUUUCUUUUCUUUCUUUUAUUUCUUUCUUUCUUUUUCUUUCUUUCAUUCUUUCUUUUUCUUUUUCUUUCUUCUUUCCUUUCUUUCUCUCUUUCCUUUUUUUCUUUUUCUCUUUAUUUCUUUUUUCUUUAUUUUUUUUUUUAACAGUAUCUUGCUCUGUUGCCCAGGCUGGUGCAGUGGCGUGAUCACUGCUCAGUGCAGCCUCGCCUUCUUGGGCUCCAGCUAUCCUCCCGCCUCAGCCUGUGGAGCAGCUGGGACCACAGGUGCGCGACACCACACCCGACUAAUUUUUUGUAGUUUUUGUAGGGUCUCGUUUUGUUGCCUAGGCUGUUCUCGAACUCCUGAGCUCAAGCAGUCCGUCCGCCUGGGCGGACUAAUAUCACAAAGCGCUAGAAUCACAGGCAUGAGCCACCGUGCUGGGAGGGAAGUCUGUAUUGUUGCUGCGUUCAACCCAGUGCAUAGUGCAUGAGAAGAGGAGGCAGUUUAGGGGCCCAGAACCAAGCGGAUGGGGCUGGUUGCAGGAACAAAGUAAAAACCAUUCUGAUUGCCAACAGCUGCCUACGCAGGAAACACCCUUCCAACCUCCGUGGCGGGGCUCUCCCAGGCCACCCCUCGGUCCCAGAGUCUCCUCCCCGUCCAGAGCUCUCAGGAUCCUACAGAAGGGGCGGACAACUCUUCCCUUCCAAACUGGAAAGUCGGCCUAGGUUUCCGAGGAUAAUGAAAGGCACAGCGUUUUUUGACCUCGACUUCAGGCCUGACCCCCCACUCUCUCGGUCCCGUACCUCUUCUGCGGGAUGUAACUCUGUGGGAACCGCUCCUUUAUUCUGAUGAUUAACUGUCUGAUAUCCUUGAUAUUUGGGGAUAGUAGAUGAAAGAGAGCAGGAGAGAAAAAUGGACGGCAAGACUCCAGCUCAGAAGGUGGGAAUGAUGGCAAAAGUCCGCUACCUCUCCAAGCCCAAUAAACAUCUCAAACUGCUCUACACUUUUCUGUACCCUUGAUCUGUGAAAUGGAUCACUGACGUUUUCUGUCUUUCGGGAAAUGCAAAGCAGGCGAAUUUUCAAGCGCUUGAAUUCCCUCUUUUUCCUACUUUUCAGUCAGAGUGGAGCUAAAAACUCCUUCCCCAUAGGAAAUAUGGAACUGCCUCUGCCCGGAAGAAAAACGUCCCUUUUCCCUAAGCUUUCACAUUUCCCGAAAAAUCUACACAUCCGCAUGAAAUCCUCACAAGAGACCUACAGACCCUACCGGGAGCGUUCCUGUCACUACAAAAAAUUUAAAAAUUAGCCGGAUGCGGUCGCGGGUGCCUGUAGUCCCAGGUACCAGGGAGGCUGAGGUGGGAGGAUCUCUUGAGCCCAGGAGGUCCAGGAUGCAGUUAACGAUGAUCCUAAGACCACGAGGCAAUUGGAGGAUCCUCAAAUACCAGGGAGAAACUAGCUAGCAGACAUAGUAUGGUGGGAGGGGAAGAUCAAGGCAAAUGCCUUGGGAGUGGGUGAGAAUUGCGACUUCAUAUUGGAUCUCCUGACCUGUGAAGGCCCUUUUCUAGGCUCCUCUGGACCUGUCCUCUGCCCAGGUUCAACCAGAAAAGGAUGGAGUUUGUUGCAUGGUAUCAUCAGGGUGAGGUUGGGAGAUGAUGCGGGAACGCUCAUCCCUGGUCUUAGGAACGGGAGAACAAAGGAAAAAUGGCAUCAUUUCCACCUAAAAAGUUACAAGCACUUCACCAGAAGGAACAGCCCAGGCGGAGCCUUUGUAAAAGAAAAGCCCCACCCACUGCUUCGCACUCCUCAUUUCCACCCAGCAGAGCAUUUUAGUGACAAAGCUGAGCGGGAGCCAGAGUUCACUCCUGUAAUCCCAGCACUUUGGGAGGCCCAGGCGGGAGGAUCACUUUAACCCACGCGUUCAGGACCAUCCGAAGCACAUAGCAAGACCGUGCCACUACAAAAAAUUUAAAAAAUUAGCGGGAUGCAGUCGCGGGUGCCUGUAGUCCCAGCUACCAAGGAGGCUGACGUGGGAGGAUCUCUUGAGCCCAGGAGGUCCAGGCUGCAGUGAACGAUGAUCCUUCACGGCACCACUGCACUCCAGCCUGGGUGACAGACUGAGACUUUGUCUCAAAAAAUAAAAUGAAAUAAAAAUACAGCCGAGAUUAGGAACUCUUUAAGAAGGGGUCACCUGAGACAUUAUUAGUAUACCAUUAACAGGAGAAAAUGCUGCAAAUUAAAGUAUCAUAAUGGUGAGUAAGAAUUGUCACUUCCUGACAGGACCAGGAACAUCAGGAUAUUUGGAGAAUCUUAACAAAAGGAGAAUUCAUCCAAAUCUCUAGGUAUUGCAGGCAAAGUAUGAUAGCAAGAUCCUGGUUUGGUUUCCUAGCAUCUGGACGCUUUUAAAAGUCUAAUUUGAGAUUCCUUAUGAAAAUGUCCAGGAUUAAUGUCACCAGCCAGGUUCCUAACCUAUGUGGAACACCCAGGGCCAGAAGAGUCUAAAAUUGCAAAAGCUCGUGGCUCCUGAGUCCAAGAGUUCCUGGUUUUCCUGGACACAAGCGAUAGCGCAGCACUUUCUUCCCCAUGUGCCAGAGGCCUAGGGUUCUGCAGAAGAGGCCCCAAGGCCCCAGACGCUGCAAGCCCUAAGCUCAGUAUAUUCUAGGCCCUGUCCUCUCACUUUCUAUUUCUUGUGUGGCCCCCAAACUUGUGCCAGCUAUCCUGGAACAGCCAAGAAUUCAACUGUGACCUGCUUCCUCCCUCAACCUCUUCUCCCCAACCUCCCCACCACACUUCUUCUUUGGGAAGAUUUGUAAAAAUUAAGGUUAUUAUAUCCAUGUAACUUUCUGUAUUUCUUUUAAACUCCUUGUGCUACUAAGUCACACAGGUUUGACUCCUGGAUCUAAAAAAGUCACCAACUCUGGCUAAAUCUUAAACAUUGACAGCAAUUGAAGCCUCAUCUUCAGACCUAGGAGAAGAUGAAAAUCAGAAUAAGCUGCAGUCAUAAGACAUGGGUCCAGAAAUUAAAACUAUUCAACCCCUCUAGUCCCAGGGACUAUUGCAGAAGAAGUGGGUGUGUGAGCUUGUAAGGAUCCAUUUUAAGAGAUAAAAUUAAUUCAGAGUUUCUCUAUAAAUUAAACAGUUGCAUUUGUUGUUGUUUUGAGACAGUCCAGCUAUGUCAUCUGGGCUGGAGUGCAGUGGCAUUAUCCUGGCUCACUGCAACCUCUGCCUGGCAAGAUUCCUGGCACCUCAGCCUCCCAAGUAGCAGGGACUACAGGGGUGCACCACCAUGCCUGGCUAAUUUUUGUAUUUUUAUAGAGACAAGGUUUCACCAUGUUGCCCAAGCUGGUCUCAAACUCCUGAACUCAAGAUAUCCGCCUGCCUAGGCCUUCCAAAGUGCUGAUUUUACAGCUAUGAGCCACCGUGGCCAGCCUAUAAAUUAAACAUUAAUGUCAAAGGAACACUGAUGCAAGACAAGCAUGUGGGUCCCUGUGUCAGAUUAACAAUGUUUUCUUGGAGCAUUAACACAUUCCUUACUUAAAAAUUAUGAAAGGUUAUGAGAAGGUUUACAAAAAUUAUAUCUUACACUCAAGAUUAUUAAAAUUUAAUAGAUUUGUCUGUAAAUUUAAUUGACUUCAUCCUGUCUUUAUUAGGUUUUAUUGUUUGGGAAAGUAAGUCUCAAAGAGUAAAAGUUUUUGCCUUUUUGUUUUUAAAAUAUUUGAGUUACCACUUUGACUAAAUGAAUGACUUAUUUUACAAUGACCUGUGAUGCUAUUUUGUGAUAUUGUGUUUUCAACCUUUGAUGUUUGACAAACUUUCCAAAAUCUAAAUCUAAAUUCAGGGCUUUGGUCUCACUAAUUUUUUUGACAUUACAUCCCCUGAAAUCCAAAGAGACAUAUUUGGCUUACUUGGUAUAAUAAAAUCUUCGUUAUCAAAUAUGAAAUGAUGUGUAAACUUUUUUGGCUUGUAUUUAUAUAAAUGUGUUAUUAGUAUGUGUUCCAAAAUUGUAUGAGAUUCUUGUGAUUCUGAUAUGUCUUAGAAUAUGUUAUCAGAACUAAUUAUGAUUAUUAUAUUAAAUUGUUAUGUGCCGUAGAUACAACCAAAUUUCCUUGUCAAUUGUGUCUUUAACCAUGGCUGUUCUAAUUCUUUUGUCAUCCACAAUCAUUGUUUUACUUUGAUCCUUUCUUAAGGUGGUUUAUAAUCAGUUAUAGAGCUCUGAGGACUACUCUUUCUUUUUCUUUCACUUUUAUUUUUAAUGAGAUGGGUUCUCGGUCUGUCACCCGGUCUGCAGUGGGGUGGCAUCACUGUUCACUUCAGCCUCAGUCUCCUAGGCUCAAACAAUCCUCCCACCUCAGCCUCCCAAGUAGCUGAGACUACAGGUGCACACCACACACCCAGCUAAUUUUUAAAAUUUUUGCAGAGAUGGAAUCUCCCUAUGUUACCCAGGCUGGUUUCAAACUCCUGAGUUCAAGCAAUCCUGCCACCUCAGCCUCUCAAAGUGCUGGGAUUACAGGCAUGAGCCACCACACCCGGCCUUUUAAUACAUUGUCUCUUCAUUAACAGAUAGUAAGUGUCUAUAUUGUGCUACAAAGUGAUCAAAGUUCCAGACAUAAGUGAUCAACAAGCAGAAAUGGACUUGGCCAUAAAGUGUUUGACACAAUCAGGGGCUGAAAAAAAAUAAAGCAGGAAGCAUGACAACAAAUAAAUAAGACAGUGUUUAUGUGAUAAAUGCUAUCAAGAAACCUAACGCAAGUUAGAUGGAAAGGUAACUAGGAGGAUGCUAUAUUAGCUAGUGUAGUAAAAACAGAAUUAUCAGAGAUACUUCCACUUUGAUAGGAAUAAUGCAACGAACAAAGCAAAGAAAAAAAAAAUCCGGGCCAGGUGCAGUGCUCACCUAUAAUCCUAGCACUUUGGGAGGCCAAGGUGGGCAGAUCAUUGAGGCCAGGAGUUUGACACCAGCCUGGCAAACAUGAUGAAAAUUCAUCUCUACUAAAAAUACAAAUAAAUCAGCUGGGCAUGGUGGCCCGCACCUAUAAUCCCAGCUACUCAAUGGCUGAGGUGGGAGAAUCAUUUGAAUAUGGGAAGUGGAGGUUGCAGAGAGUCAAGAUCACACCACUGCACUCCAGCCUGGGCAAGAGAGCAAGACCCUGUCUCAAAAAAAAAAAAAAAAAAAAAAAAAUCUGAAGGUGGAGUUACCAUCAUGAGAGAAUAUAAAUUACAAAGAUUCUAAGACUAGAACAACUUUAGUAUGGGCUGGGCAUAGUGGCUCACACCAGUUAUCCCAGCACUUUGGGAAGCUAAGGCAGGAGGAUCACUUGAGGCUAGAAUCCCAAAACCAGCCCAAGAAACAUGGUGAAACCCCAUCUCUACACACGCAAAAAAAGUUUUUAAUUACCUGGAUGUGGUGGUGUCCACCUGUAAUGCCAGCCACUCAGGACGCUGAGGCAAAAGGAUUGCUUGAGCCCAGGAGUUGGAGGCUGAAGUGAGCUAUUAUGGUACCACUGCAUUGUAGCCUGAGCUACAGAGUGAGAGGCCCAGUCUCUAAAAUUAAAAAAAAAAAAAAAAAAAAAAAAAAGUUGGCCAGGCGCAGUGGCUCACACCUGUAAUCCCAGCACUUUGGGAGGCCAAGGCGGGCAGAUCACAAGGUCAGGAGUUUGAGACCAGCCUGGCCAACAUGGUGAAACCCGGUCUCUACUAAAGAUACAAAAAAUUAGCCAGGCAUGGUGGCAGUCACCUGUAAUCCCAGCUACUUAGGAAGCUGAGGCAGGAGAAUCGCUUGAAACCUGAAGGCAGAGGUUGCAGUGAGCCGAGAUAGCUAUUGCAGUCCAGCCUGGGUGACAAGGCAAGACUCCAUUAAAAAAAAAAAAAAAAAAAAAAAAAAGUUUAUUACCAUCAGAGUGAACAGGCAACCUACAGAAUGGGAGAAAAUUUUUGCAAUCUACUCAUCUGACAAAGGGCUAAUAUCCAGAAUCUACAAUGAACUCCAACGAAUUUACAAGAAAAAAAAACCCCAUCAAAAAGUGGGCAAAGGAU
rnacentral:lncRNA from 1 species